UACGGAGGGUGCAAGCGUUAUCCGGAUUCACUGGGUUUAAAGGGUGCGUAGGAGGGCAGGUAAGUCAGUGGUGAAAUCUCCAAGCUUAACUUGGAACUGCCGUUGAUACUAUCUGUCUUGAAUAUUGUGGAGGUGAGCGGAAUAUGUCAUGUAGCGGUGAAAUGCUUAGAUAUGACAUAGAACACCAAUUGCGAAGCAGCUCACUACUCAAUCAUUGACUCUGAGGCACGAAAGCGUGGGGAUCAAACAGG
rnacentral:rRNA from 1 species